UUCUUUUAGGAAAGGAUUCAGAGGUUUGAGAAAUGUUGAUGUGAGCAGCCGCUGAACCCAAAAGAAUAAUAAAACCAGUUGGUGUUUUUCCCCUGAAGAGAUCUCCCCAAACUUAAGUCCUUAGGUGCAAAAUAUGAGAGCGCAAAAGCUAAUGAACAUUAAAAGACUACGGAUGCACUCACUAAACAGCGUUCUUGUGUCAAUUUCUGUUUCUAUUUCCACAAAUAUCACUUUGCUGGGCUUUAGGGUGUAAAUAUCUAAAAUCUGCUUUUAGCCAAAUACAGAGGAAAAAAGUGACACAUAUAGAAAGCAUUAAAGAUUCAUGCAGUGGAGAGAUCCAGAUGAAUUUCAGAUGAGUUUUCAGUCCUUCAACUGCAGAUUUCGUGAUGAAUUCAGCAAAACCAGAAACAGUACUUUAAAACUUUGUGACUUAGAUGUUCAUGGACAGCUCUCGCUCCUGGCUAGUUAAGCCUGCAACACUUGCAGAGUCACAUCUUUGUACCUGGAGACUGUACUGUACUUUUAAAGUUUUCCCUAUAUGUUUGAAUUUUCCAACUAUCUGUAAAGAAGGGAGCGGACUCUUUCUAGGACUUGCUCCGCUUUACCUUCAUUGUCUCCCAAAGAGGUGAGACAAGCGUAUUCUUAAGUGAAGUAGUUGGUUGAAGGUGGCAGUCAAUCCCUCAGGAGGUUUUCUUUCCCACUCCUCUAUUAAUGUGUGUAGCAGCAGUCCAGAGCUCAUGUGGCAGACCUCUCUGUUGCCUGUGUUUUGUGUUAUUAGUUGGCGUUGUAUCAGUGUCAUUUCAGCUCCCUCUUCUGUUCAUUUGCAUGUCCUUUAACUGUUAAAGUUAGAAAUAUUUCAGCAUUUGUCAGGGCAGUUGAUGCCAGAAAAACUACAAAUAUAUAAACUAUUCUUCAAAUUAUACAGCAACUGAUGCCAGAAACAUGCAGUCAAGGAAGAGUGGACGAGUUUAAGACUCCAAAUCAAAUCACACAAACAACAUGCUUAUCUUGUGAAACACACCAGGGUGUAAAUUUGGUCUGUCCUGAAUUGUGAGCACAAAUUGGAAAAUCUUCUGUGACUGCACUGGAUCAGAAGUAGAGACAGAACUUUUGCAAAGACAAUGAUUAAAUACAGCGUGGUUCAAUACUGGCUCUUGUUUCAAAAAUUAAUUGUGAUUUUCUUUUGUUGCAAAUACAGACUUGUUUCUGCUGUGUCCAUUGACUAUGGUGAUGUUUUAUUCAUUCAUGCAUCUUUUUAAUCUCUCUUUAAAUUCUGCUCACCAUGGGGGACUUAAGUUCAUCAUAAAUCCUGAAGCCCUAACUCAUCCUCUGUGUGCUCUUGCAGGCUGAACUGCUUUGCCCACCUGUGGACUAAAUCACCAGCAUCUCCUUAAUUAUAAGGGCAUCCUAAAUUUUCUUACCCAUAAUGUAUGUAUUAUAAUUCAUCUGGAAUAAACCUGUGAAGCCCUAAAGACUCAUUUUUGCCAUGUGUGUCUAACAGUGUGUCCUGACAGAGGGCUAAAGGAGUUCUUGGUAUGCUGCUGCAGUUUAGGAUCCAGUUGAGUUACACUUUAUUUUUUUUAAAUCACAUUAAAGGUACUGAAAACAAUUAAUCAAUCAAUCAGAAUACUUUAAUUGUCCCAGCACAGGUCAGAAUUUAAAAUACAAUAAUACUGUGUGUUGUGUAAAUUACAACAGAGUAUAAGGGCCACAUAAAAAAUAAAUAAAUAAAUAAGACUUACAGAUUACAGCCAUUAAUUUACGAGAAUAAAGUCAUUACUCCCGAGAAUAAAGUCAUAAUAAAAGCUUUACUUAUGAGAAUAAAGUCAUAAUGAAAUCAUUACGAUACUUAUGAUAAUUUGGUGCUGAUGUGCCAAAAGAUUAAUCAUCUCAUUGUUUAGGAAACCUAUAUUAAAGUACAUUUUCACGAAUUGCUCCAUGGCUCUCAUUUCAACAACUGUCAUCUUUAACAACAGGUUAGAAUAUAAGGACUUUAUUCUGUUUUUAUUCUCAUAAGUAAUUACUUUAUUACGACUUUAUUCUUGUAAGUAAUGACUUUUUUCUCCAAGUCUUAUUUUUUUCUUAAUGUGGCCCUAAAUAAACUGUCUUUAGCCAAGAAAUCAGCAUUCUCACAUCGGUUAACCCCGACUUCUUGCAGAAAUAUGCACUAGGCUAGCAGUUUGCAUUCAAGUGCGCAACUCAUCCUAAAAUUUUCGGCCGUUUUCAAGAGUUUGGUUCAUGUGUGAAUACGUAAUGUAACAUCAUUUAGCACCUUAUUGUUCUUACUGCUGUGAGAAUAAACUUCUUCCAAACCCUUCCUGCUUUCUGUUUAGACAAAUGCAUAAGUUUGUUUUUGUUGUCACUCAUUUCUUCGUUUCAUUCCCUGAUAUGUGUGUUUAAGGACUGAUGAUUUAUCUACUCAAGCCUUCAGUUGUGUGAGUGCUUUCUGUUUUUAUCCCUGAGAGAAACUCAAGCACCAAGGAGACGAGGGAGUGAAGUUAAAAGAGAGAAGAAGAUGCAUGCAGGAUAUUUACUUUGAUGUCUUAAGCUCAGUAAACAAUGCUUAAGCUUUCCCUAAAAGUCAAGAUAUUUCAGUAGGAAUUAUGUGAUUUACACACAAAUACCACCCACUAACACACACACUCCUGUGGGCAUCAAAAUGUAAGAUUACCAUUUCUCCCUGAAACCUGUAAAGGUGCAUUACAAACAUGUACGGCUGUUUGUAGCAGCACUCUUAUCCUCCAUCCAUCUCUCCCCCUCUCUCACUUCUUCUUCCCCUAUCUCUGCCUCUAUCUCCUCUCCUCCCUGUGCGCUCUUUCCCCGUUCUCUCUUUUCAUCUCUGUCACUGUCCCCCAGCUGGCUAGGUGAGAUAACGCCUCCACACCGGGAUACUCGUAGCUCAUUGGCUGGAAGAUGAAGGAAAGGGCGCCAAUCACAGGCAGCAUCAUUAGUUGAGGCGAUCCUGAGCUGAGGCUGUGCCUUUAUCUGCUCUAACGGAUCCUGAAACGUCCUCACCCAUCUUCUCCAUUCCCCUAAACUCCGAAGCACACUCCAGUCUAAUGUCUGUGCACAUUAGCUCCAUUUUGUUGAACACCUCAUUCUCCUUUGGACGCAGAGCAAUUUAGAUUUUUGAGGAGAUAACUAACUUUCACAACAACCAAAAAGUGGAAAAAAGUAUUUUAUUGGCCUCUGUUUAUCUCAGUUCUUUUAUUCUGUUGGUUUAAAGCUGAUUAGAGUCCCUGGCAGGCUUUUAUUUUUGUGAACACAUUCACUGCCAGCACUUGUGCUUAGCUUCAACAAACUUUGUUCAGGAAAUAACUUGUAAGAGUGAAAAAAGUGUGAAAAUAUUUGUGUGUGUGUUGACUCUUUUUACUCAUGGUGAGUGUGAAUCUGUAAAGCAGAUAUUUGACAGCUCUGUGGGCCACCAUUGGGCUAAAUACAAAAGUUAGUGUGUAGUUUGUUUUUGUUUUAAUAACUUUCUCUUGUCAUUAUGUCAAAAUUAUGCAUUCAAAACAAACUGUAAUAUACUAUGAAGUUAAAACAUACUGCUGAGUAUUCGUGCAACAUGGCCUAAGUGGGCGGAUGUCCUGGCCACCUCUGAUAUGUCUUGAGUGUUAGCUUGAAGGCUAAAAUCCCGCCCAAGCUACUUCUCUUUGCCGACACAGUCAUCAAAAAAAAAAUAUGAGUUGGCAUAUCCAUCAGGGGAUCAAACCAAUGGAUGAUGUCCCCGAGACUACAAGAUUUUACAAGCCUAGCCAUGCAAAACCAACGCCAACUAACCAACUUAUUAAGUACACCUGUAUAAUUGCUCGUUACAAAUAGCUGAUCAGCUAAUCACAUGGCAGCAACUCAGUGCAUUUAGGUAUGUAGAUGUGGUCAACAAAACUUACUGAGGUUCAAACCGAGCAUCAGAAUGAGGACAAAGGGGGAUUUAAGUGACUUUGAAUGCAGCAUGGUUGAUGGUGCCAGGCGAGCUGGUCUGCGUAUUUCAGUAACUGCUGAUCUACCUGGAUUUUCAGCUGCAACAUUUAAACAUUUUGGUGGGUCAGUUUAUCGUAAACAACAUGAAGGCAUGGAUCCACCCUGUCUUGUGUCAAUAGUGCAGGAUGGUGGUGGUGGUCUAAUGGUGUGGGGAAUAUUUUCUUGGCACACUUUGGGUCCCUUAGUACCAACUGAACCUUGUUUAAACACCACAGCCUACCUGGGUAUUGUUGCUGACCAUGUCCAUUUAUGACCACAGUGUACCCAUCUCAUGAUGGCUACCUCCAGCAGGAUCAUGCACGAUGUCACUAAGCUCAAAUCAUCUUAAACUGGUUUCAUUGAGUUCACUGUACUCCAGUGGCCUCCACAGUCUCCAAAUCUCAAUCCAACAGAGCACCUUUGGGAUGUAGUGGAACAAGAGAUUCACAUCAUGGAUGUGCAGCCGCCCAAUCUGCAACACCUGCGUGAUGCUAUUAUGUUAAUAUGGACAAAAAUCUCGGAGCAAUGUUUCCAACACCUUGUUGAAAGUAUUCAGGCAGUUCUGAAGACAAAAGGGGGUCCAAAGGGGUGUAUCUAAUAAAGUGGCUUGGGAGUAUAUAUGAUCUACUGUGAAAAUUGGCAAUACACUAUAAACACUGAUACAGUUUCUGUGGCUAUUAGAGCCAGCCUCAAGUGGUCACUCUAAAACCUCAGUUUUGCCGGUUGCUGGUGGGUGUGUGUCGAUUCCUGUUAACAUAAGUCUGAGAAAGAAGCAGUUUUCCAAGCUUCAAAUAGCACUUCUACCACUGACUGACACAUGGACCAGACCACAAAAAUAACAGCAUAAUGGGAAAAAAAUUGAGGGUGGUUGUUUUUUUGGUAAAUAAUCAAGAUACUUUGAGUCUGCAGCCAUGGCAGCAGCUCUGCGACACACAGUGGUGGGUUGAAGUGAAUGCUAUUUUAACAUGGAGUCAUUUUAGACUUGUUGAAACCAGAGUGCAGCAGAGCCUGAUGAAAAUGCUGUUAGCUUUUUAUCUACUUUUAAAGCUUAAAAUCCAAAGGUGCUACUCUAGGAGAAGUAGAAGACCCACCAAAAAUGUUGAAGUUCAUCUUAACGAGGAAGUGAAUAUCUGCAAGUGCCACAGGCCAAUGCUACCAUCCACAGUCAUGCUGCUCAUUUGGUUAAAAACUGGUUUGUCUGCUGAACUUGCUCUGGAGAAAAACAAAUAUAACAACAACAUUGAAUUGCAGAAUGAAUUCUUCCUUCACUGAGCUGUUACUUAAAAUAAAUGCAGACCAGUAAAACAAAUCAACACAAACUGAACUGUUAAUUAAUGAUAUCACAGUCGAUGAUGCGCGCUGCAUUUUUAUCAGCCACACUCGAUACAGUGAAAUCUGCUCGACUUGAGUCUUCACUGCUGCAUCUGAAUCUCUUUCUGUUUUUGAGCUUCACGCUAACCUGACCCGCUGAGCUAAUUGGCCUGCAGCUCUACCCCUUUAUUAACGCACAGAAACUAUGUUGGAAAGUGUGCAAAGAGUGUUUUAAUCACAUUAGUGACAUUAGGACUCAAGCUGUUCCAGGCUGGUGUGCUAAGGGUUGAGUGCACCCUGGUGGACUCUUGCAGACUGUUUAUCUCAGUGCAGCUCAAAGAGGAGAAUUGUAACAAGUCCUGUGCUGCCAUCAUGUGUCUCCACAGUAUGUUAACACUGACAAAUGUUCCUUAUAUGCAUUUAUAUCUUUCAUAUUUUUAAAUACAACAGAAUAAGAUGAGUGAGCUUAAAGGAUUAAAUAUUAUAGGACAUCUUGUACUGACUCUGCUGCCGUGUUGCCAGUCAUCUGGGAAAAUGACAUUGACAAAAUCCCUGAAAAGGUUUACAUGUCUAUAAGCGUCCACCAACAGGCGUUAUCUGACAGGCCAUUUGGCUGCUUGAAUCUGACCUUUGUCAGAGUGCAUCACUUCUCCAAGCUUCAACUAUGAAAACAUUUCAAACAGAAAGGUUAAUAGGAGAGCUGACACAAAUUUAUAGAAGGUCAAGGAUCUUUCUCUCACACUCAGAAUAUCACAAAGAAAAAACAACUCAAUAGAGACAUCGUCCCAAGAGGCUGGUUCAGUGAGGGAUUUGAAGAGUAUGGAAAAAUAAUUAGCUCCAUCGGGCCUUCACAGAGUUAUGUCUGGAUUAUUAAGUGUUGUGUGGUCAUGAGCAUGAGUCUGUUAAUGUGAAAGUGAAACAAGAAAGCGUGUUACAAAGUUUUGUUUACAGACUUCCGCCAGCAGGUGGUACUGCCGCCUCUGUUCAGAGCACUCAGAAAUCUUCAUGACCACACUGUAAUCCAGAAAAGCCCAAAGUCACGCAGUAAUCUGAUGUCACACAUUAACACAGAGUUUACCAGAACCUUGAACGGGCUCACUGUGUCAUUUCAAAAGUUGAGGUCAUGUUGAGUCAUCAUCACUCUGCUAUUCUGAGAUGAGUGCUCAGAUAAAUGCCCUCCCCGGCUGCACUGGCAGCCUGUAACUAGACCUUAGAGAGAUUAAAGAGGGAAGACCAGCAGGUUUCAUGAUGUCAGCAGAGGGCCGUGAGCUCUGCACACAUCAUGGUUUUAUUAAAACCUGAUGUAAUCAAGAGUAGCUUGAUCAAUGACAAACUAAAGGAUGAGACUAUGUUAAAUCCCAGCACAAGGAUAUACCAGGCGCAGAAUAGCAGCUUUGAUGUCAACCAAAAGUGGCAAGAGCGUGUAGUAAAAUAUUAUGUGUUACAGGUUAAUGAUGAUGUCUCUAAAAUAUGUCAUCUCAGAUUAUUUUAUUGAUUCAUUAAUAUAUUUUUCUGACAUAAACAAUUCCAAAAAGGCAGAACAUUUUUAUCUCAAACUCUUUUGGUGACUCUUUAAAUUCCUUUGAGUUCUGACAACAAAAACAAAAAAAGGUGUACUGGUUAAUUUGUAUCUUAAAAGUUUCAGCUAAAUUUAUCCAUGAUCAGCCAUGUCUCUAAAUAUCCAUUGUUUUUGUUUUAUCAUUGUUUGUGCUUAGUGGUUUCUUAUGCUGAGCACUGAAUAUUCAUUCAAAAUGUCCUCUUAAAUGUGAGCAUGUGAACACGUGGCCUUAACUGCUCUGCUAUGUGCACUGGUUAGUUCUAUAAAAACAGUUCUCUGUAAAAAUAAACUCAAGUAUAAAUAAGGUUCUCUACUUCCUCUGCUCUAAUUAUAGGCCAUUUUUUCACACAUUGUUAGCUAAUGCAGCAGCAGCAGACUUUACCAUGUUCUGCAAAGUGAAUUACAGUUUUUGCUUCUGGAGUCGGGUGAGAUACAAUUUAUUGCUGUUCAAGAAAUAAAAAGCUUCCCUUGUGAUGUGUUUUUUCACUGAAAUGUAGUCAGUUAGAUAUUUGGACUUACAGUCAGAUCAUGAGUGGACACACUUUGAUUAGGUGCACAAUGUCCCUUGAGGAUUACAUAUUGCAUAACAGUCCACAUUAUGGCUGUUCUGGCUGAACAACUGACUGUACUUGAUAGUCAUUUAUACCAACAAAUACUUCAGAACUGGGAUCUAGCUUUCAAAAUUAAAAGUGUCCUUUUUUUAGAAUGAUUGGAUAGGAGUUGUCCCAUCUGCUUCGAAGCUUUGAGAAAUCUCAACUUUGGUACAAUUUUAGCAAAUAAUGACUAUUACAAAAAUACAGAAGAAUGUUCACAAAACAUAAAAUUUCCCAGUGUCUUUUGCUUCGUUUUGUUUUAAACUGUUUUUACUACUUAAUUUCUUACCUCCUCACAUGAUCUCAUGCCUCUGAGUUUCACUUUAUGUGUUGUUGUGUUGUGCUGUCGAAUCAGCAUGUCUCUUGAGGUUGAUCUGUUGCUUUGGGUAUAUAGCUGCUGGAUAUUUAUUUUGCUUUUGUUUAUUUCUAUGUAGGUUUGGGUGUUGGGUCCUGGCUUUGUUUGAAUAUUUACUUAUACACUAUGUAAACCAAUGUUUUUAAAGGUGCUAUCUAUGCAUACAUUAUAAUUUCAAAAUUAUCAUCAGUCAAGUCAAGCCAAGAUUUAUAUAGCAGUGCAUUAAGCAGCUUUUCAAGGUCAAAGUACAAAAAGAAAACAACAGUAAUUAUCACACCCUAUUUAUAAAAGUAGUUGUAUGUGCCAGGAUACAGUUCUCAUCUGGAAGGGGAACCAAGAGAGAAAAAAUCGGGGUCUGGUUUUGAAGUGGGCAUAUCCAGGAGCAGCUGAUUGGUUGACCUCAAUGUUCUAGCUGGACCAUGAUCAAGAAAAAUUUCAAGUAAAUUGAUGCCAAUCCAUUCGGGGCCUCAAAGUCAACAACAAAUGUUUUAGAGAGCAGCACAGGUGUGGUGCAGUCUCACUUUCACUCUCUGAUUGAGCAGCAGCCUGUUGAGCGAGCUGCAAACACUGAAUAAAUAUCUGCUCUGAAUAAAGAGAACUACAACAGUAGAGAUUAGGCAUUAAAAAAGCAUGUAUCACCCUUUCUAAAUCUUCAGACAUCUACUUAAUCUAUCAGCCUGGACUGAAAAAUUACAGUGCAUUAUGAUUGACAACAAUGAUUUCAUGCUUUUCUGCUCUACUUUGUUUCUCUCUAUGUGUGUAGAAAGGCCCAUCUUGGGAUGGGCACUGCAGACCUUCUUAGGCUAUUAUAGCUGUGGUAUGCAGCACCAGUCCAACCCUUAUACUGGUGUCUGUAAAAAUAAACAUGACAUAAAAAAUACUGAAAUGAAAACACGGACCUAUAAAAAGAAGCAAGUCGUUAAAUGACUAUGCAUUACAGACACUUUGACACCUUCUGAGCGUGUAACGAGGAAAGGAGAGUCUCCCAGUACCAGUUUUCUUUUUAGAACACUUGUAUUAUACAUACGACAGAAGGCAAAAUCCUCUUUCUACCACUUCAUGCAUUGUGAUUCUGACAUACUCAGCGAAAAAGCUGAAUAAUACAGUAUUACACACAGGAUCAAUCUCAUACCAGCUUAGCAGUACAGCUGCUUCCUAUGAGUGGCUGGUUUCCUCCAGCCUUUUCCCUGGUGAGCAUUAAUAUUGAUGCCGAGAAGGGAGGCUGACCAAGCUCUCAGUCACUCACUCUCUCUCUCUUCCAUCUCUCUCUCUCUCUCCCCCCUCCCUCCCUCUUAUACCCACACCCUGGAUGCAGGCAGGCGUGCACACACCGGCAGAUUGACUCAGCUUCCGUGUCGCUCUCCCAGCUCCAUCUCUGAGUCUCCAUCCCUCCCUGCUCUCUCCUCUGGUGGAUUCUAGCCCACUGCUUUGUGGAAAACCGGUAAGAACAAAUCCUCUCUUUCACUGGCGUGUUUUUGAUUUCUUUCAGCCCUUGUGUUUCUUUCUGAUCUAAUUUCGCUGGAGUCUGACAAAGGAUUGGGGUGUGGCUGAGGAAAAAGGAGCCUGCUGCUGAUGGAAGCUUUGAAAUGAUGUGAAAACAGAAGGCUAUGGAUGAUGGUAAUGGUAAUACAGGAACAAUGGAGCACAUGCUUGAGAAUACAGUUGACGUUAUCGUUGUAAAUGUUAUUAAGACUUGGCAGGGCUGGAUUUGGACACCUUGGUAGCUUAUGAGAAAUGAUCCAUUGCACCUCAUUUCAAGGAUCUGCAUACUUAAAAUUCUGGCCAUGUGCCUGGCUUAACUACGUCUGUGUCGCACUGAAUCUUUUAGGCCCUAUUUAUGUUCUGACGAGUCAGAUUAGUUAAUUUUACAGCUCCUUGGUGUGCAGAUGACUGGCUACAGACUGGUGGGCUUGUCACAUUUUCACAGCAGCCCCUUCCAGAGCAGUGGCUCAAAGAGGCAUGACUGGGCCCGACUGUGCAAGACAGAUUAGUCAGACCUGAGGCUAGGUCAGGAAUAUGACUGCAGUGGAGCCUGUGGCGGAGCACUGCCCAGAUCCAGCAGGCUGCAGGGGUGGAUGCAGAGAGAGAAAGAGGGAGAGAGAGGGAGAGGAUGCAGAGGGAGAGAACAAAGAACUCAGCCUAGGAAGGAGAGAAAAUGUAGAGACAAAGAAGAUCAGGCAGAUGGGUAAAAAUAGGCACAUGUUAGCUACAUAGGCAUUUUGGUGGGAAGAAAAUCAAGGCAGAGCAUGAGUGGGAGGUGGCCACCACGCACAGGCGUGAAUGUGAAUGUGUCUGCACAUAAAGGGAGUGGCUACAACAUGUGCUGCUUGGAUGGAUACAAAGACAGAGAAAUCAUUUUUAAUUUUAUACAAAAAGACGAAAAAGGAGUCUUUAUUAUGACUAUUCCAAAAAGGCCAUUGUACUGUAGAAUACACUUUUAGAAAUAUUUAUGAAGGAUCUUAUAUCUCAUUCUAUAUUUCACUGUCUAAUCUCUGCCAUGGCUGACAGGAAAGGUCAAACCUCUGUGCUGAGGUUUUUUAUUUUCUUUUGCAGCCAAAAUGUCUGACAAGCCUGACAUGACUGAAAUCGCUCGCUUCGACAAGACAAAGCUGAAGAAGACAGAGACAAAAGAAAAAAACCCUUUGCCCACCAAAGAGAGUGAGUGUCCCUCAUGUCUACAGCAUGUGUACAUGUGUGUGUAUGUAUGUGUGUGUGUUUCUAGGCAGAAUUAGAGCCUCAAUUCCCUGCAACAAUUUUCCUGUCAGUAGCUACUCAUCACCUCCAGUGCUGUCAGAGGAAUACAUGCUCAGCAAGCAGAGCAGCAAAAAGCAAAUAGCUGCAACAUCAGCAAAUCAUUGAUAUUCAGGACAAAAAAAACAAAAGCACCAUUUCUCUGCUGCGUUGCCCAACAACAAAUUCAAGCCUGCUGACCCAUAAUCUCUUUUCUUUUUUCAGCAAUUGAGCAAGAGAGAAAAGGCGACGCCACACCUUGACUUCAGAGCACAUGAAGAAAAGAAGCUGAGAUGCGACAGCAAAAAAAGCACUUUCUUUUGAUUAUCACAGUAUUUCAAUCUCUUGCGUUGUCUUCAGAAUAAGGGUGCUCUUAAGCUCCCUGGGGUGCUGUAAGGGGUAUAUGGCAUCUUCACAUGGGGGCUCUCUUACCACUAUAGGGUGAAAAAAAAACUUUAGUCUGGGUGCCUAUCUAGCACUGUUAGCUUUGAGCUAGCAUAUCUCAAAUGUUGCCAAACUGGGGAGUGGUGUGGAGGUGGUGUAGCACAGAUAGAUGGGCAGGCACCCAGGCUAGGGGGAGGUGGGGUGGUGUGGGGGGUGAGGACAGGGGAGCAUUCUGAGUCUAAUCAUGUGGGAUGUUUUCUUAAAAAAACUUUUUACUUUUCUUUAUGAAAUAAAUAUGAAGACAUUCAACCAGAUUUUCCUGCAUAGUCCUCUUUCUUUUGUGACUGUAUUAAAGUGAUACACGCGCCAACAGGGCGAGGACCGAUUAUACAAAGCCAGGGAAUUAAAAAUCAAUCAAAUGA
rnacentral:lncRNA from 1 species